rnacentral:lncRNA from 1 species
GGGGUCCCGGUGCCGGUACCGAGGCUGGGACAGUCCCAGUGUGAAGUGUGGCGGGGUCCCGGUGCCGGUGCCGGUACCAAUGGCAGCGGGACCCUGGUGCCGGUGGGUUGCCGGAGCUGGUUCCCGGUGCCGAUCCCGGUGCCGAUCCCGGUGCGUUCGCAGCGCGAGGAGCAGCAGCGGAAGGAGCAGGAGCGGCAGCGGGAGCGGGAGCAGCGGCGGCGCUGGGAGAGGGAGCGCAUGGAGGAGGAGCGGCUGCAGGCGGCGGAGCGGGAGCGGCGGCUGCAGGAACGGGAGAGGCUCAUCGAGGAGCGGCGGUGAGGGGCAAGGCUGGGCUCCAGCCCUGUCCCAUCCCCAUAUCCCAUCCGUGUCCCAUCCCAUCGCUGUCACCCCUCCCGCAGGCAGGAGCAGGCGCGGCUGGACGCGGAGGAGCGGAGGAAGGAGCAGGAGCGAUGGGAGCAGCAGCAGCGGGAGCAGGAGGCGGCCGAACGGGAGCGCGGGGGUCGCACCGGGCUCAGCGGCACUGCGGCCGAAGCCGCAAUCCUGGUCUCCCAGCGCACCCAGAACCCCCGGGAAUUCUUUCGGCAGCGGGAACGCUCGGGCUCCACGUCCGCAUCCCCCCUGCCCGGCAGCACCCCCGGUGGGUGGCAUGGAAGGGUUGGGGGGCACGGGGGGGUUCUGGGGGUCCCUGCUGACCCCACCCCGACCCCGCCAGGUGCUCGCCGGCCUUUCCUGCGGUACCAGCGCAGCCUGACGGAAUCCGCCUUCAUCUUCC